CAAUUUAUUCUCUUUCUUUCUCCCAGGUGGCAGUUGCAGAUAGACAUGCAUAAGGAGCUGGACCAACAAUAGCAGAAAAAUGCCAAGAAGUUAAAGAGAACAUGGCCAGAGAUGCUAGGAAGAGAAGAAAAAAGAAGAAAAGAAUCAUAGGAGAUGAGGAAGAUCAUAUGGCUGAUGGAUGUUCUUAACAGUACUAGACUGCUUGAGGCCCAUUCCAAAGCCGAGACAGGAGCUGUAAGGCAUAACAAUUAUUUCCCUUGCAGUUUAAGACAAUGUGUAAUAUGUAUAAUGAAAUGUAUGUGUACUAACCGAAAAUGACCGUGAAUUUAUAAUUUUGGGAAUUUUACUCAUAAUUUUGUAGUGUUUGUAUACUUUUGUAACUUAUCGUUUUUCUUUCACCAUGUUGCCCCAUCCAUUUAAAUUUGUGCUAAACUUUUAUAUUCGAGAUAUCGUGGCAGUUGAGCAACUUGUGCUACAAAAACUUCACAUAUCCCUCGGUCACACUACCAAUUGAGGGAUAUCACUUAUUAGCACAGAUAAUUUCACGAAACCUACCACAGAUAAUCCGAUCAUUCUACUUUUUGAUCUGUUGACGCAUGUGUGAUUGAUGGAUAGUUUACCAAAUUAGAGAUAGAGCCAACGAAUGGUUGUUGAGAGUUGAAGGCAGGUUUGUACCUAUGUGGUAUCCGAAAAUUAACCAAAUAAUUAUCAUCAUCAUUAGACCAGAGUUUAAUCACAAUAUUCUAAAGGUAAAAAAAAAGCAAUGUAUAAGGGUAAGGUAGGCGAAAGCAUCACGUACAAAACAAAGAAGAUGGCUGUGUUUCGGGUUGUUGCACCGUGUAGUCUGGUGAACACAGAAGAAAUCCAUCUUCAUACUCACCUCCGUCUUUAAGAUUCAUGAAAGUACCCACCCGAUUUGUAAUGACGUCUGGACCAUAAUUCAUUAGGAUCAAUACCUGUUGGUGACUGGUUCACAUUUUUGGAGAAGGGUAUAAAGCUGUUUGGUUGAGCUGGUAAUCUGUCCGCGAGUGCUGGAUGAAGCAUAUAAUUUCUGGCAUCGAAAGGGAAAAGAAGGUGAAUGUCAGCAAGAAGUUCAAGAUGUCUGCCGUCUACUAUAGUUCUUCACCUUCCAGGUUUUCAGAAUAAAUUACAAUAAUUUAGAAAGGAUUCGUUCACUCUCACAUAAUUUUGACAAAUUUCGUUUUAGGCCGUAAGAUGUUUCAAAAUAUAAAUAGCUGGGCAAUUUGGAAAGGAGCACAUUUCUAGAACAGUCGCAGGUUAAGAGCACUUUCCUGAUAAUGUGCGAUACCCACAUUUUAAGAUUUUGCAUUUGCCUGUAGUUGGGGGAUGGGAAUUUAUGUAAGGGAAUUGUUUAGUAUGAACUGUAUGUUGUAUGGUACGUUUUAAAGGCACGUGUGAGGUUGGGAAUAGAGAUAAUAUUUGUGUGAUUCAUAACAACAUAGGAAGUAAAAAUUUCAAACAAACGCAGAGUUAAAGAUUCUUAAUUCGCAUUCAUUUUAUUUUGGCACUCAAAACAAAUCCGAAAAUAUAGUUGGUGCACACUGGAUAGGGGAGUGAAAGACAUUCAGACACAUGAGUAUUGUAACUACAUAAACCAGUGAA